rnacentral:rRNA from 1 species
UACGUAGGUGGCAAGCGUUGUCCGGAUUUAUUGGGUUUAAAGGGUGCGUGGCGGUCUAUUAAGUCAGUUGUGAAAUACGGCAGCUCAACUGUCGAGGUGCAAUUGAUACUGAUGGACUUGAGUACUGAUGAGGUAAGCGGAAUGGACGGUGUAGCGGUGAAAUGCUUAGAUAUCGUCCAGAACACCGAUAGCGAAGGCAGCUUACUAAGGAGUAACUGACGCUGAGGCACGAAAGUGUGGGGAUCAAACAGG